CUCCAGCCCCUCGAGUGGUGGGGAUGAUUAUUUGGCCUAAAGCGUCCGUAGCCGGCCGGGUAAGUUUCCCGUUAAAUCCAAUGUCUCAAGCAUUGGACUGCGGGAAAUACUGCCUGGCUAGAGAGUGGGAGAGGUGUACGGUAUUCUGGGGGUAGGGGCGAAAUCCUUUGAUCCCCGGAGGACCACCAGUGGCGAAGGCUGUACACUAGAACACGUCUGACGGUCAGGGACGAAAGCUGGGGUAGCGAACCGGAUUAGAUACCCGGGUAGUCCCAGCUGUAAACGAUGCAUGCUAGGUGUUGGGUUGGCCACGAGCCACCCCAGUGCCGCAGGGAAGCCGUUAAGCAUGCCGCCUGGGAAGUACGAUCGCAAGAUUGAAACUUAAAGGAAUUGGCGGGGGAGCACCACCAGGCGUGAAGCCUGCGGUUU
rnacentral:rRNA from 1 species